rnacentral:rRNA from 1 species
AGAGGGUGCAAGCGUUGCUCGGAAUUAUUGGGCGUAAAGGGUAGGUAGGUGGUCUCAUUUGUCAGGGGUGAAAGCCCUGGGCUUAACCCAGGAAGUGCCCUUGAAACGGUGGGACUAGAGUACUGGAGAGGGUCGUGGAAUUCCCGGUGUAGCGGUGAAAUGCGUAGAGAUCGGGAGGAACAUCUGAGGCGAAGGCGGCGACCUGGACAGUGACUGACACUCAACUACGAAAGCGUGGGGAUCAAACAGGAUUAGAUACCCUGGUAGUCCACGCUGUAAACGAUGGGAACUAGGCUUAGUGGGUCUUGACCCCCGCUGAGCCGGAGCUAACGCAAUAAGUUCCCCGCCUGGGAAGUACGGUCGCAAGACUA